CUUUGUCCAGCGUCUCUGCACUGUAGACACUCCAGGCCCAUGAAUCACUUAGCAGUGUUUGUGUUCAAAGAAUCCUUAUUCUACUUAAUAAUGGCCCCAAAAGAUAAGAGUAGUGAGGCUGGCAAUCUGCAUAUGCCAAAGAGAACUGUAAAGUGCUUCCUUUCGGUGAAACGGUAAAAGUUCUUGACUUAAGGAAAAAGAAAUCACAUGCUGGAGCUGCUAAAAUAAGAACAAAUUUUCUAUCCAUGACAUCGUGAAGAAGAAAGAAAUUCAUGCUAGUUUUGCUGUCACACCUCAGAUUGCAAAAGUGAUGGCCACAGUGCAUGAUAAGUGCUCAGGUGGAAAAGACAUUACAUUUUGGGGUGGAAGACGUGAGCAAGUGACAGCAGUGUGUCACACCAGAAAGCACUGAGCCCAUACAAAGACUUCAGCAAGGGAUCUGAAAUGAGUGACACCAAGCCAUUUACUGCAAAUAAGGGAUGGUUACACACAUUCAGGAAUACAAAAGGUCAACAGUAGCCUAACACCACGUCACAAUGCCUAUGGCGUUCACCUCACUUCAUCUCAUCUCACUGUACCAUCUCAUAUCAUCACAAAAGGAAGGACCCCAGCUAGUAUGUGUACAAAGAAGAGGUCAUGUGAGCAUACAACAAAAUGGAGACCUAUAAGCCAACAGAAAAAAGACUUAGAAUGAAGCCUAUCUUGCCGGCACCUCGGACUUCUCAGCCUUCAGACUGUGAGAAAUAAAUUUCUGUUGUUUAAGCCACCCAGCCUAUGGCAUUUUGUUAUGACAGCCUGAACAGACUAAUAUAUUCAUGUACACAAAUAACCAACCAUGGAUGGUUUUAUCUUUGGACACAAGAGAGACCAACUAACCAAUCUCCAAAGCUAGCAUGGGAGUUAUAAAAGCUAAAUUUUCUGAUUGGCAACUCCAUGAUGGAUAUCUAUAUCAAGAAAACGAUGAAAUCAACAGAUGUAAGCAACAUGUGAAGUGCAGGGGCUUUUACUGUGGUAUCUUCAACAUCCAGAACAAUACACUGUACUUGGCAUGAAGUCAAUCAAGAAAUAUUGGUUGAACAAACAAAUACGUGAAAGUGCUGACAUCAAUCAUGGCUAGAAGUAAACUUUGCAGAAGGAUUUUGGGAAAUAUUUUUACUUCCUCAAUCUCUGGGAAUAAAUUAAACAGUAGAUGUUAAAAUGAGAGGGUUUAUAGGGGAAAGUUGAAAGAUUUAGGAAGGAAACAAAUAUAAAUAAUAUAACCAUUGUUUAUAAAUCUUUAAAAAGUGUGAACACUUAUUUAAUGUAUAAUUUGG
rnacentral:lncRNA from 1 species